AUGCAGCGACAAACACUUUCACUCAGCAACAGCCUGCCACACUGCCUGAUAGUUAACAACAGCCUGCCACACUGCCUGAUAGUUAACAACAGCCUGCCACACUGCCUGAUAGUUAACAACAGCCUGCCUGAUAGUCAGCAACAGCCUGAUAGUUAACAACAGCCUGCCACACUGCCUGAUAGUCAGCAACAGCCUGAUAGUCAACAACAGCCUGCCUAAUAGUCAGA
rnacentral:lncRNA from 1 species